rnacentral:misc_RNA from 1 species
AACGCACCUUGCACUCCUUGGUAUUCCGAGGAGCAUGCCUGUUUGAGUGUCAUGAAAGUCUCAACCUUACUGGCUAUUGUUUAUGGGCUAGUUUGGCUUGGAUUUGUGGAAGUUGCUAGUCAUUCUGUGAUUUAAGCUCUUCUUAAAAGCAUUAGCGAAUUCACUGCUAAAUCUCCUUGAUAUGAUAACUAUCAAUAUCCUUGGGAUUAUGUAUAUAAAUUUGCUUCUAAAUUGUCUCCAUGAGACCUAGUGUUUGACAAUUUUGACCUCAAAUCAGGUAGGACUACCCGCUGAACUUAA